rnacentral:rRNA from 1 species
GAUGAACGCUGGCGGCGUGCCUAAUACAUGCAAGUCGAGCGAACAGACGAGGCUCUUGCUCCUCUCUCGUUUGCGGCGGACGGGUGAGUAACACGUGGAUCACCUACCUAUAAGACUGGGAUAACUUCGGGAAACCGGCUCUAAUACCGGAUAAUCUAUUGAACCGCAUGGUUCAUUAGUGAAAGUCGGUUUUGCUGUCACUUCUAGCUGGAUCCGCGCCGCAUUAGCUAGUUGGUAAGGUAACGGCUUAGCAAGGCAAGGAUGCGUAGCCGACCUGACAGAGUGGUAGGCCACACUGGAACGGAGACGCGGUCCAGACUCCUACGGGAGGCAGCAGUAGGGUAUCGGCCGCAAUAGGCGGAAGCCUGACGGAGCAAGGCCGCGAGAGUGAUAGAGGUGUUCGGAGCGUAAAACUCUGCUAUUAGGGAAGAACAAAUGUGUAAGUAACUAAGCACGGCUUGACGGUACUUAAUAAAGAAGCCACGGCUAACUACGUG